AUGCAGAGCCCAGCUGAAGCCACAGCAGCUGUGUGGACUCUGAAGCACCCCUCUGAAUUGCUGUCACAGUGUGGAGGAUCUCUACCCCCCCGUUCAUCCACAGCUACAGUCACAGAAAAGCAAUCAAUCUCUUGGACUGACAAAGCUGCAGAGGCUAAAAGCUUCUAUUUCAAGGUUAUCAAGGAUGCAUAUUGCACUUUGUUUCCUCCACAUCCUAGAGAGCCUUUCCUAGAAGGGCUCUGUGAUGUGCUGCAGCAGGGCUCUAGACCUGGUUUCCCACAGGCAUAAAUAUGAGUGCAGGUGAGCAAAGGCUGAUAAUGUCUUAACCAAACCCACGGGUGAAGAAAUAGCUGCUUGACAGGAAUAUAUUAAAGUGAAAUACACGAAAUAUUCUGAUGAGCUGAAACACUACACCACUGGGAACUGUAUACAUUUGCAAUAGACUGCAUCCAGUGAGCAGUAAAAGAAAGUAAAGAUUUUGGGAAUAAGAGGAAACUGUUUUUAAGAUGAUUUCUAAUAAAAUCAGGCUUACAGAGUCA
rnacentral:lncRNA from 1 species